GUUGGGUUAAUUAAGCUUAAGUGCUGAAAUUAGCAUUGUCAUUGAUGCAACUUGAUUAUCUUGGGUUCAGAUCUUAGGAGAAGGAUAGUCUUGAACCUGAGAAACUUUCUACAUCUAAUUCACUGUUGAGGGAACCUUGCUACUGCUGAUUUGAAGAUAAUCUAGUGAAAUUAGCAUUGUAUUUGAGCUAAUUUAAGCUUAAGUGCUGAAUUAUUGGAUUUUUGUGGUUUUCGACGCUAGAUCCUUCAAGUAUUCCAGUUGCUGUUUUGGUGUGAUUUCGGCUGAGUCUCGCAACAGUUCCGAGAUCUCCUUACUGCCAGGAAAGAGCUUUUGAGAGCCGUUGCCUUCGGCUGCUGCUGUUGCUGAUCUUGAUCGUGGUAAGGGCGUCGCGAGUUAGAGCCCUUCCAGUCGAGUCGCAGAGCUGGAGGAGCACCAGCUAUAGGUAAUUGUAGUUUUUAGGCCUUUACAUAUAGUUGUUGUUUAUCGCCAGUGCGAGUAUUUGUAUACCUUGGAUGACAUGUAUGUAUUGAACCACAGUUUAUAUAUUUGAUUUAUUUUCUUA